UUAUAAAAGAAAAAAUCUCUCAGCUCAGUCGAUCCCCACGAGUAACCUUAUCCAUCCGCCUGCACCACCUCUCCAUUAUCCAGCUGAUGAAGAUCUCGUCGCUUGCCAUCAGCGGACUAAUUCCCAAACCAUUGCGACUGCACUUCUCCAUUAAUUUCUUCCAACUUCUCUUCGUCUGGCGCAGUUUGCCGUUGUGCAGAGUGCGCAGACGCGUUCGUCGCGUUCUCAAGGAUCUAGAUCCUAGACGACCUCUUGGAGUUCAGCGGAGUGUUCUCAAGGGUUUCGGCAAAGAUGACAUGGCCGACGGCUAGAAAACCAUGGCAGAGGUGUUGUAGUUUGGCCCAGUGGAGGAGGCUGUGAGGGAACUCACCGAGUCACCUGCUAGUGGUGAAUGAUUGGAUCUGACUGCCGUGAGAUGAUGUCCUCCUCAUUGUUCUUGCUGUCAGACUACUUUAAAUGUUUGUUGUGCAAAAGCUAACUUGGUGAAUUUUCUCAAGUAACGUCUGGUAACCACAUCAAGUAACGGAGAAACAUAUUCCAGUUGCCAGCAAGACGCCAUUGACUGGCUUAUCACUGUCCCAUUGCUGUCAUGUGGCUCCUCUUUCACAGGCACCAGUUCGCAUGAAAGUUCGCCAGGUAUUUUACUCAUAUUACAAAGACUAAUGACAUAUUUAUUGAAAUUCGAUGCAUUACCUGGUCUGGCUGGUUUUCGUGCCUCAUUGUAGCCAGAAGUGCUUUGGGGUCACUUCUUCCGACGUGGAUUGUAGCAGCUGGGCGUAACUUUGUCGGGCGUCGACUGUGCUCUGGCGUGACUUUGUUGGAAGUCAAAAGAAGCGGCUGGAGGUGGCUUUCGGUGUGGAUGUCGAGUUGCGUGUGCCUUGUUCAAGUCGUCGUGGUUGCCGACUU